rnacentral:rRNA from 1 species
GAAUUUUGGACAAUGGGCGAAAGCCUGAUCCAGCAAUGCCGCGUGCAGGAUGAAGGCCUUCGGGUUGUAAACUGCUUUUGUACGGAACGAAAAGCUUUGGGUUAAUACCCUGGAGUCUUGACGGUACCGUAAGAAGAAGCACCGCCUAACUACGUGCCAGAAGCCGCGGUCAUAAGUAGGGUGCAACCGUUAAUCGGAAUUACGGGGCGUAAAGCGGGCUCAGGCGGUGUUGUAUGAAAGAGGUUAAAUCCCCGGGCUCAACCUGGGAACUGCCUUUGUGACUGCGAGGCUAGAGUACGGCAGAGGGGGGUGGAAUUCCGCGUGUAGCAGUGAAAUGCGUAGAUAUGCGGAGGAACACCGAUGGCGAAGGCAACCCCCUGGGCCUGUACUGACGCUCAUGCACGAAAGCGUGGGGAGCAAACA